rnacentral:lncRNA from 1 species
GCACCCAACCAGUGCGACCUCAACUGCCUGGCAGAGGGGCAUGACUUCUAUCACAGCUUCGGCCGAGUGCUGGAUGGUACCCCCUGCAGCCCAGGAACCCAGGGACUCUGUGUGGCUGGCAGGUGCCUGAGCGCGGGCUGUGACGGUUUGCUGGGUUCGGACGCCCGGGAGGACCAAUGUGGCCACUGUGGUGGAGCCAAUGACUCGUGCCUCUUCGUGCAGCGCGUGUUCCGAGACGCCGGUGCUUUUGCUGGGUACUGGAACGUGACCCUGAUCCCUGAGGGCGCCAGACACAUCCGUGCAGCCCACUGGAGCCGGAACCACCUGGCGCUGAUGGGGGUUGACGGGUACUACGUGCUCAACGGCAACUGGGUGGUCAGCCCGCCCGGAACCUAUGAGGCGGCGGGCACCCACGUGGUCUACACCCGCGCCGCCACUGGGCCAGAGGAGACGCUGCGCGCCACCGGGCCCACCUCCCAAGAUCUGCUUUUGCAGGUCCUCCUGCAGGAGCCCAACCCCGGCAUUGAGUUCGAGUUCUGGCUCCCCCGGGAGCGGUACGGCCCCUUCCAGGCACAGGCACAGGCCCUGGGCUGGUCCCUGCGGCAGCCACAACCUCGAGAGGUGGACCUUCAGCCUCCUGAGCCUCCUCCAGCCCCUACCGUUAUCCCCUCGAGGACCCCGAUCCCCACCCCAGAGCCCUGCCCACCCUGCCCCGACACCCGCGGUCGUGCCCACCGGCUGCUCCACUAUUGCGGCAGCGACUUUGUGUUCCGGGCCCGUGUGCUGGGCCGCCUCCACCAGGCCCAGGAGACCCGCUAUGAGGUUCGCGUGCAGCUCAUCUACAAGAACCGCUCGCCUCUGCAGGCCCUGGAGUACGUAUGGGCACCAAGCCGCUGCCCCUGCCCACUGCUGGCCCUCCAUCGCGAGUACCUGCUGGCUGCCCAGCGCCUCAUCAGUCCCGAUGGCACUCAGGACCGGCUGCUGCUCCCCCAUGCUGGCUACGCCCGGCCCUGGAGCCCUGCUGAGGACAGCCGCACUCGCCUGGUUGCCCGGCACUGCCCUCUCUGAGUCCCCAGACCAGGCCUCAGCCACACUUGGCUGACUAGGCUCAGGGUCAUCAUGUUUCCCCUCUUGUCUUAGCUUCCAGGGAGCUCAGAACUGUCUCCCACCUGCAGCUCUGUGACUCCCCAUCACACACUUAGACACCCUGCACUCAGAGCCACGGUCAUGAGCAGGCAGGCACUGUUGAGGACACACUGAAUCUGCUCUUUAACUCUAAUUUCCUCUCUCACCCUGGCUGUCAGGAAACUCAGAGCUAUGUUACCCUCAGAGACUGUGUCUGCUUUUAAUACCCUGGCUUCUCCCUCAUCUGCUUAGAGACUCUGUCACAUACAAGCAUGGCCCAGAGGAAGACAUGCCUAAGGAAGUAGACGUUGUAAUAUAUCAAUUCCCUUCUUGCUUUGACUACCAAGAAGCUCAUCACCAUUUAACUCCCUGAUACUAUCUCUUUCUUCUCACUGCCACUUACACAGGCGCCCUUCUGUAUGCUGAGACCUUGUCACAAACAGGCAUGACCCCUAGAAGACAUGCCUACCCAGGCACUGUAACGUCCCAAUUUCUGCUUUUGCCCUGGCUCCCAGGAGGUUCGGAGUUAAUCUUGACAGCUUCAGUAAUCUGGGUGGAGGGUUUCCUCCAGGCAGUGCUGCUAUUCACCCAUUUUUUAUUCCUAUUUAAUUUUUACAAGUCCUUUUUUUCUUUCUUUUUUUUUUUUUUUUAAUUAUACAAGGGCACCCCAGCUCCACAUUCUUGGCCACAGACACUUCCAGAUGCUCCAGUAGUCAGAUCCACAGUCUCAUCCUCACUGCAUGUACACACCUCCUCCUCCAGGUCCAGCCCCCACCUGCCCCCAGUGUGUCUAACCCCGAGGGACAGUGAGGACCAGGAAUAUAUGAGGAUUGGGGUAGCUGGGGCUUUCAGAGGUCCCAAGACCCCUCCCCAUGCCACUUGGGGGCCACACAUUCAUCUUAGGCCAUUCAAGGGACCCUCCCCCAGCCAAGCAGUCAGGUCAGAGCCCCUGCCCGCCUGUGGCCUGUCCUCAUAUGUCCUGGAUGUUGUCUCCUUAUGUAUUCUAGACGGGAGGGGCAGGCAUAGGUCAUGUGUGGAUGGGAGGUGGGUGGAGUAUCACACUCGCUCAGCACACCUCCCGAGGGGCCUCCCUUCUGCCUUCCCACCCUGAACAGUCUGGGACAGUCUGCUCUCUUCUGUACCAUCUGUGGUUGUGUUUUCUCUAGGGCGCCUGAUGGUGGGCGUAUGAGGGGGAUGCAGGACAUGGGGGUCUCGAUGGGCUCAGCCCCUGACCUUGCAGGUCACCUCGGGUCACGCCCUGCCCCUCUCUGGGCCUUAGUUUCCCUUUCCCCAUCCACACCUCCCUUUCAGCCCCUCUGGGCCUUGAGCAUGGGAACCACACUCUUCCUGACCCCUUCCCUAGCCCCUCUGUUCAUUCAUGCAUUCUUCCAAAGAGUAAUUAUUGAGUGCCUUCUGUAUCUGAGGGACCCCCAAUCCCUCCCGCGGGGAAAGUGGGGCACGGUUCUGGAGGGAGGCGUGGGGCCUGGGCGCCCCCUGGUGGCAGGAUUGGGGAAGAAAGGACUCGCGCGCUCCAGGUGUUGCCUGCAGCCCGGUCCCCCAUGGCCGGGGGUGGUCCCCUCCGCCUCUCUGCAGUGUGGGGAUGUGUCUCGAAAUGGGAGACUCCGGCCUCCUGCACCCCGGAGCUCUCUGGGGGCAGCCCUACCACCUACUCCCCAGCCAGCUGGACCGGUUGGCUGGGGCGUCGCACCGAGCGGAGGAGAGACCAGUGCAGGUCGCACUCCAGCAGAUAGGAUCAGCCGGGGCUACAGGAGCCAGCAUUUCCCGCAGCCCCUCCUCCAAGCCGCAACAUCGUUUCCAGGAACGAUCAUCGAACAAUCUUUAGUAAACAGUACAUUGUUUUUCUGAUGUGCUCUCAAGUUUUAAAACAAUUGAUGGAACAAUUUGAAGAAUGAAGAAAACAUUGCACUUUUCAAGAUCCUCAACUUCAGCAACAUAGUCUAAGGUGGACACUAGCAUUUGCACUUGCCCAGCAAAUAUUCCGGGCUGCUUUGAUGCUUUACUUUGAAAACACAAAUAAAAACUCCAGGUGGUUAC